AAGGACUGGAAUUUGUCUUUGAAUUCUCGUUAUGCAUAUUGUGCGAGCCAGGUGAAACAAAGAAUUUAGAGGACACGUUCUAAGAUAUUGCGAGAACGCUACAGCAGAAUUACUUGAUGUAUGAUGAUUCAAAGCUUACAUUAAUUGUUGUAUACCAACGAUAUCUAAUAUUUAAGUUAGUAUAUCUAUACCAAAAUU